CUGUGAUUCCUGCGAUUUCUGCGACUUACCACCAUAUGAAAAAGUUACAUCUGUCAACACAGAAAAUUGCAUCUCAACAAACCUGUCAUUGGCAAGUACCUGAACUACAUUUCAGUCACUCAGUAAAGUGAUAACUCAAAAUAUCAUUGUCAACAGAUCUGAAGAAAUUGCCACUGCGUCUUUAGACCGUUUUUGUCAGACGAGAGACACAGUUCUGACUCUGAUUACUGGUUGCUGUACGUAUCUAUCCACAUCAAGGCUGUUUUUGAGAGAGACUCGUGAAGAUUCAAGACAGCUCUUAGAGGAUUUGCAGUUUAAAAGUG